rnacentral:tRNA from 1 species
GCGGGCGUAGCAUAAUGGUAAUGCGGCAGCUUCCCAUGCUGUUGACGAGGGUUCGAUUCCCUUCGCCCGCUCCA